CCUCAGCUGCUCUGAGAGCAUGGAUCAGCAGCUAUUGCCAAACACUUUCUUGGCUGCUAAUAGCACUUUUUCCUCUUCUUUGUGUGGCUGAUAGUAGGUAUUUAAAACAGCAACAGCGAAUCAGUCGAGUCUUCCUUACUGCAAGAUGCCUUCUUCUGCUCAAAUCAUCUUCAAGAUAGAAUACAAUUGGUCCGCUGUCUGCUGGAAAGGUUAUGACUGUGGAUGCAAAUGAUUUUCUCGCUAACCAGAACACGGGCCGAGGGUCACGGGAGGUCACUGCCUCUCGCUGUGUGCCGGUAGCAGACACAGACGGUUAACGACCGGGCACAGCAUCAAAGAGCCAGGGUAUGUCCCCACACAUACACACACACACAUUCAGGCACACGCACGCAUGCAGAUGCACGCACACACACACACACACACACACA